UUGAUCCACAUUUAAAUAAUACAUAUAUCAGAUGGGGUCUCCCAAAUGAAACAAAAAAACAAACUCAUUCAAAAAAAGUCUAAGAAAGAAAGAAGGAAGUAGAAGAGAUGAAAGCUUCUCAAAAUGAAUGAUGGGAGCAAUUCAUUAACUCCAUAGCAAACUACUCACCUGAGCCAGAAUUUUUUCAGGGGUUAAACAUUUAUCCUCAAACAAUUGUACAUUUCGAACUAAUCAUAUCUCCCAAAACGUGAAAGUAAACUGGGUUAGCAGUUGAUUACUGUGCGGCUUUGAUUUGAUGAAGGUGAAAUUUGAUUUAAGCCAUUUUCCAUAGAGGCUGGUCUUGCAAGUUCAUUGAGAUGAGUUGUUGUUCAAGCUUAAGAUAAAGGUUUUAAGAUUUUAUAAUAGAAGAGGAACUAAAUUGAGCAUAAUAAAUUAAAUUUGGACCUUACUAAAGGUUUAAGAUUUUAUAAUAGAAGAGAAAAGGCUUAAGAUAAAGGUUUAAGAUUUUAUAAUAGAAGAGAA
rnacentral:lncRNA from 1 species